GAUGAAAAUCGCAUUCCAUAUGGAGUAGCCCCCAAGCCUUAGGUUGAAUCAAAGAAUUAGGCUAAGGGUCAAUCAGCAUUUCCUCUGUCUUUGUCUUGAUCUUGAAGAAAAAGAAAUUUUUAGCCAACGGGCACGGUAUACGCAGCCCUUGAGCUGUUACACAACUUGUUUCAGGCGGUAUACGAGUCAUUCAACAGUCACCGUGACCUUUCAGUUUCCA
rnacentral:lncRNA from 1 species